rnacentral:rRNA from 1 species
CCUACGGGGGGCAGCAGUGAGGAAUAUUGGUCAAUGGCCGAAAGCCUGAACCAGCCACGCCGCGUGAGGGAUGACGGCUCUCGGAGUUUUAACCCCCUUUGUUAGGGGAGAUAAUGACGGUAUCUAACGCGUAAGCACAGGCUCACUCCGUGACAGCAGCCGCGGUAAUACGGCGGGGGCCGGCGUUACGCGGAAUCACUGGGCGUAAGGGGCGAGUAGGCGGGAUAACAAGUCAGAUGUGAAAUCCCAUGGCUUAACCAUAGAACUGCAUUUGAAACUGUUAGUCUAGAGUAUGGGAGAGGUAGGCGGAAUGCUUGGUGUAGGGGUAAAAUGCGUAGAGAUCAAGAGGAAUACUCAUUGCGAAGGCGGCCUGCUAGAACAUAACUGACGCUGAGGCGCGAAAGCGUGGGGAGCAAACAGGAUUAGAUACCCUUGUAGUC